GGUCCUGAGAAAUUCUUCUAGGGGUAGCUUCCUCUAUUGUAUUUUUUAGGGAUGAAGCCAUAUGGUAGAAUUGGAUUACUCUGAUUAUUAUUUUAUUUUUUAUUUAUUUAAAGAAAGAUGGAAAGAAGAAGAAGAGAAAAGAAGAGGAAGAAAGAGAGAAGUUCUAAAAAUGAGAACUCUAAGAGAGUCAUAAACCUAGAGACGAUAGAUGUGAAGAAUCUAAUUUAGGUUAAAUAUUU
rnacentral:lncRNA from 1 species